rnacentral:rRNA from 1 species
GACAGAGGGUGCAAACGUUGUUCGGAAUUACUGGGCGUAAAGGGCUCGUAGGCGGCCAACUAAGUCAUACGUGAAAUCCCUCAGCUUAACUGGGGAACUGCGUGUGAUACUGGAUGGCUUGGAUUUGGGAGAGGGAUGCGGAAUUCCAGGUGUAGCGGUGAAAUGCGUAGAUAUCUGGAGGAACACCGGUGGCGAAGGCGGCAUCCUGGACCAAUAUUGACGCUGAGGAGCGAAAGCCAGGGGAGCAAACGGG